AAAAAAUCAUCUAAUGUUUUUUGAUUAUAGAGUGGUUUGGAAAUGUAAAUUGUUAGGUGUUUGUAGAUAAAAUGCUUUUUUUUUCCCUUUUCCAAAAUACCUUAAAAUAUAGCCAUCGACUUUUAUAAGGGAUAAAAUUGACAUUUGCAAAUUUGUUUUAAAAAAUUGGUCAGCAAUGGUCAAAGAGAACGUUGUUGGCAACUGUACAAUUAAGGAGGGGGAGGGGGAGUGGGAGUGGUUCUGGUUGGGCACGCUACAUGGCUCACUUAGCAUGCGCCAUGUGUUUAUUUAUUUAUUUAU
rnacentral:misc_RNA from 1 species